GCCCGGGUGGUGGAAAUGGUAGACACAAGGGACUUAAAAUCCCUCGGGGCAACCCGUGCGGGUCCGAUUCCCGCCCCGGGCA
rnacentral:tRNA from 1 species